ensembl:lincRNA
ACCAUAGAGUUUGGCGAGGCGUACUAGAGGGGCUACCUAUUGCACCUUCCCGGGUGGUUCGGGCUUAAGGUUAGCCAGGCUGAAGCUAUGGGAGCUGCAGGUGGAUACACAACCUUGGAUCUGGUGUAGCUCUCCUUGGCCCAGAGAUUUUUAAGUUAAACAAACGCCCAAGAUACCUUCCUUUCACUAGAAUAUCAGCCGAUUAACAAAAAUGGUCCCAAAGCUCUGUGACACUGGACCCAUUUUUAGGGCUACAGAUAGGCUUUUAAUCACUUUCUUCCCGCUCUUUUGCUCUGGGGUGUCCUUUUUCUCCUGAAAAUUCAUAUUCUGCCAGGUCCUUUAAAAAAAAAUCGUUCCAACUUUCAUCUGAAGCUCCGGCUGCCCUGGCUGCCAGUUUAGCAUUUGUCUCUGACCCUUCUGCUUCCUCGAAGGAGGGGACAGACAGCGAUGCAAGUGUCUUGCAAUGACAGCGCUACUGCAGAAAAUACUUUAUGGAUUGAGAGAAACCUGCCAGAGGCUCCAAAUAGCAUCUUUAUCUGCCAUUGAUACCUCAAGUACCACCGGGUCUCCUGGAUCAUAUCGUCCAAGUGGUAGAGCAGCUCGUACAACCAUCUGGAUCUGUUGAAAAGCCUCCUGUUCCAGGUCUGACUCAUCUUUCUGGGUCAGUGGUAAACGGGCUGGAGUAACACACCGAAGGGAGGAAUGUUGUGUCUCCAGAAUCCAAAUGGACCACUAAACAUUGUACUUCCUUCUUGGUGGCAGGAGGGCCCAGAUGCAAUAACUUAUCCUCCACCUUGGAAGGAAUAUCUCUAUAUGCCUAUACUACUGGACUCUUAAGAAUUUUAAUGAGGUAGAUGGCCCUUGAAUUUUUUGGUUGGAUUUGUUUCCUCUGAUGCACGUAUGUGUUACCAAAAAGUCCAAAGUGGUGUCUACCUACUGCUCUCUUGGUCCAAUCAGCACAAUAUCAUCAAUAUGACGCACCAGUAUGAUAUUUUGUGGAAGAGACUGAUAAUCAUGAUCCCUUCUGGCUAAGUUGUGACUCAUAUCUGGAAAAUUAAUAUAUUCUUGAGGCAAAACUGGAAAGGUACUACUGCUGGCCUUGCUAACUGAAAGCAAAUUGUUCCUUGUGGUCUUUUAAGUAGAUGUAGAGAAAAGGGCAUUAGUUAGAUCAAUAGCUGCAUACCAUGUACCAGGAGAUGUGUUAAUUUGCUCAAGUAAGGACACCACAUCGGGUACUGCAGCUGCGAUCAGAGUCUCUAUUUGAUAGACUCUUUCAUAGUCAACUGUUAUUCUCCAUGAUCCACCUGUCUUCUGUACUGGCUAGAUAGAAGGGCUAAAAGGAGAUGUGGUGGGAACCCCCACCCCAGCAUCUUUUUAGUCCUUGAUGGUGGCGCUAAUUUCUGGAAUUCCUCCAGGAAUGCAAUACUGGUUUGGAGUUACUAUUUUCCCUGGCAAGGCAACUCUAAAGGCUUCCAAUUAUCCUUUCUAACAAUAAUAGCCCUCACCCACAUGUGAGGGGACCAGUGUGAGAAUUCUGCCAACUUUUAAGUGUAUCUAUCCCAGUUAUGCAUUCUGAAACUAAGUUGUGGAAAUAACCACAGAAUGAGUUCAAGAACCCACUUGGACCUACUGUGAGUUAGAGUUUAGCCAAAACUCUAUUAAUCACCUGACCUCCACAAGCCCCUACUUUAACUGGAGGGCCACAAUAUGUCUUGGUAUCUCCCAGAAUCCGUGUUAAUUAAGAACUGGUAACCCAUAGACCUCAGAAAUUUUGAUUGUUUACUUUCCCCAGUAUAUAGAAAGUUACUCUCUAGCCAGUGCCUAUGAGUCGUGCCACCAUAAAAUUCACUUUGACUGUGCUCCAGACUGAAAGGGCAAUAACAAAGCUUUCCAAAUGAGCCAUGCCCCUCUCACCAUUUUGUGUCCUACAGGGUCAAUGAGGGGCAUGUCUCCUGGACCUUCCCAUUGGGGGGGAUUAGGUUUUAAGCAGCAUACCCACUCUGGCAUUGCACUUUCCCUGAGCCUUAAAAAUCCCCUCAUCAAUGAUAAGCCAUAGGACACCAGGCGUCUCCAACUCCUCUUCAGUGGGCUGUAUUUUCAGAAGUGCUUCAGCCAGCCAUUCAAACAAACUUUUGACAUAUAUUUUUUUUUAAUUGUGGGAAAUUCCAUAUGAAACCUAGAGUCUCCAAUCAGAGGGCGCACAUCAUUAACUCAGGCUGGUCCAGUUUUAUGUUUCCUACACAAUUAUUUUACACUCUUAAAAUCCAUUCCCACGCGUGUUCUCCAGACUUCUGCUUGAAUGAGGUACUCAGUAAGCUCCUUUCUAAUGUAGUGCACCUCCUUAUGUGCCACACUUCCUACCUCCCCUCUAGGAGCCUGCUCUGCCGUGAGUCUGGUUAUAGGCCUAGGUGCAACUAUUGGUGGGCCCCGAGGGACAGAAGGAUUGUCUUGCCCAGCAUUUCCUUCAGAGAAAAUCACUUCUGGUUUAGCAGACAACGAAGGAUUAAUUUCCUCAAAGGUGAAAAAGGCAAUAUUUCCAGGGAUGGAGAUGAUAGUAGAGAGACUGCUCCCUCAGGUCAUAUAAACCCUUGAGAAUUUGAGGGCUCAAAGUUCUCAGCUUCAAUAGAGUCCUCCCACACAUGCCUAUCUGUACCGGUUGGUUAUGUGUGUCAACUUGACACAAGCUGGAGUUAUCACAGAGAAAGGAGCCUCCCUGGAGGAAAUGCCUCCGUGAGAUCCAGCUAUAAGGCAUUGUCUCAAGUAGUGAUCAUGGGUGGGAGGGCCCAUUGUGGGUGCUGUCAUCUCUGGGCAGGUAGUCCUGGAUUCUAUAAAAAAAAGCAAACUGAGCAAGCCAGUAGCAUCCCUCCAUGGCCUCUGCAUCAGCUUCUGCUUCCUGACCUGCUUGAGUUCCAGUCCUGACUUCCUUUGGUGAUGUAGUAAUGUCUAAGUGUAACCUGAAUAAACCCUUUCCUCCCC